rnacentral:rRNA from 1 species
AUUGAACGCUGGCGGCAGGCCUAACACAUGCAAGUCGAACGAGUGGCGGACGGGUGAGGAAUGUCUGGGAAACUGCCUGAUGGAGGGGGAUAACUACUGGAAACGGGAGCUAAUACCGCAUACCAUCAGAUGUGCCCAGAUGGGAUGAGCUAGUUGGUGGGGUAACGGCUCACCAAGGAGACGAUCCCUAGCUGGUCUGAGAGGAUGACCGGCCACACUGGAACUGGACACCGGUCCAGACCCCUCCGGGGGGCAGCAGUGGGGAAUAUUGCACAAUGGGCGCAAGCCUGAUGCAGCCAUGCCCCGUGUAUGAAGAAGGCCUUCGGGUUGUAAAGUCCUUUCAGCGGGGAGGCGUUACCCGCAGAAGAAGCACCGGCUAACUCCGUGCCAGCAGCCGCGGUAAUUC